rnacentral:rRNA from 1 species
UACGAGGGGUGCAAGCGUUGCUCGGAAUUAUUGGGCGUAAAGGGUAGGUAGGUGGUCUCAUUUGUCAGGGGUGAAAGCCUUGGGCUUAACCCAAGAAGUGCCCUUGAAACGGUGAGACUGGAGUCUUGGAGAGGGUCGUGGAAUUCCCAGUGUAGCGGUGAAAUGCGUAGAGAUUGGGAGGAACACCAGAGGCGAAGGCGGCGACCUGGACAAGCACUGACACUCAACUACGAAAGCGUGGGUAGCAAACAGG